UCUCAUAUACUGCCCAUUCAAUCACUCUGCCAUCCAAUACCAUCAUUUCACUCGCUCUGCCACAAGAGGCGCUGUGUUUAAAUGUCGCCGCGGCAUCUUGUCACUCACUUCCUGCUCCGGCUUGGACUGGCAGAAACGACAGAAACACCGCUCAAUAAACUCAUCAAAUCACAACUGAAAAUUGCCAAACUCAAUGGUCAGGUUUUUUUUUCCCCCUCCCAAAAUCAAUGAUUCCUCUACUCCAGAGGUGGCGAGCUAUAUCUGAACCUACAGACCUGGUAGGAUUGUUUUUUUUCCCCUCCUCCCUUCUCCUCCUAAGUUGGAUUAUGAACUUUUAAAACAAAAGGAAUAAACAUUUGCGUUUCGUUUUGCAUCUCCAAACAAAGGAAUGAACAUUUGCGUUUGCGUUUGCGUCUCCACAAGCAUUGAACUUUUUGCGUUUGCGUUCCCAAGGAAACUUUAAAAAAAAAAAGGAUUUCGAAGUAAAAAACUGAGAGAAACCAAGGAUUUGCGUUCAGACAAAAGAACAAAGCAAAGGACAUUUAAAAAGAAGUCUUAUUUGUGUUAUUGUGUGGUCUUUUGCCACAAUUUUUGUUAUUCAUUGUACAAUAUUAAUAUAAUUAUCUUUAAAUCAGA